UUGAAGUUUAACUUUUUGUGUUUUAGAUGUCAAAGAGGAGCUUGAAACGGUGACAAAAUACUAUCAAGAACUGAAGACAAUCACACAUGAAGGAACAUCAACAGUCAGUGCUGAUCAACCCGGCCCGUCAUCUGCACAGGUUUACCUGAUGCAGAGAAACAGCUGAGGCCUGUUUAACCACUGAGGAUCCCACAGGGAACAUUGAAAAGUCAAACGAGGCUUCUGGAUUUGGUCUCAACCUUUUUUUCACGUUGUUAUUUCUGCUCUCUUUUAAGAGGUUUGCUGACAUGUUUGAUGUGCGUUU